GGAACACAGCGGCAUAGUGGUGAGACCCCCGUAUUCGGUGCGGACGCCCAACGCUUUGCGAUACACUUUCGAAGAGUCGAGUUGUUUGGGAAUGCAGCUCAAAUUGGGUGGUAAAUUCCAUCUAAAGCUAAAUAUUGGCGAGAGACCGAUAGCGAACAAGUACCGUGAGGGAAAGAUGAAAAGCACUUUGGAAAGAGAGUUAACAGUACGUGAAAUUGUUGGAAGGGAAACGCUUGAAGUCAGACUUGCUUGCCGGAUUUAUUCGGUUUGCAGGCCAGCAUCAGUUUUCCGGGGUGGAAAAUGGCGGUUAGAAGGUAGCAGUUUCGGCUGUGUUAUAGCUUUCCGCUGGAUACAUUCUGGGGGACUGAGGAACGCAGCACGCUUUUAGCGAGG
rnacentral:rRNA from 1 species